UUUUACGGAGAGUUUGAUCCUGGCUCAGGAUGAACGCUGGCGGCGUGCUUAACACAUGCAAGUCGAACGAUGAAGCCCAGCUUGCUGGGUGGAUUAGUGGCGAACGGGUGAGUAACACGUGAGUAACCUGCCCUUAACUCUGGGAUAAGCCUGGGAAACUGGGUCUAAUACCGGAUAGGAGCGUCCACCGCAUGGUGGGUGUUGGAAAGAUUUA
rnacentral:rRNA from 1 species